GAUGAACGCUAGCGGCAGGCCUAAUACAUGCAAGUCGGACGGGAUUGGAGAGCUUGCUUUCCAUGAGAGUGGCGCACGGGUGCGUAACACGUAUGUAACCUACCUUGUUCAGGGGGAUAGCCUCUCGAAAGAGAGAUUAAGACCGCAUAACAUUGCAAUGUGGCAUCACAAAGCAAUCAAAUAUUUAUAGGAACAAGAUGGGCAUGCGGAACAUUAGCUAGUUGGUAAGGUAACGGCUUACCAAGGCUACGAUGUUUAGGGGAUCUGAGAGGAUGACCCCCA
rnacentral:rRNA from 1 species